AGCACUAUAUUUAAACCUAUGGAUGGAAAUAUUCCCCAUUCUUGGUUACGCUGUAGUGCAAAAGAAUUCCUGGCUCUCUGCUGCACAGCUGACUUGUGCCAUUCUGCUGUCGCUGUAUGGAGUUAAGGAACAUGA
ensembl:snoRNA